AUUGAACGCUGGCGGCAGGCUUAACACAUGCAAGUCGAACGCGUGGCGGACGGGUGAGUAAUGUAUGGGGAUCUGCCUGAUGGAGGGGGAUAACUACUGGAAACGGUAGCUAAUACCGCAUACCAUCAGAUGAACCCAUAUGGGAGUAGCUUGUAGGUGGGGUAACGGCUCACCUAGGCGACGAUCCCUAGCUGGUCUGAGAGGAUGAUCAGCAACACUGGGACUGAGACAGGGCCCAGACUCCUACGGGAGGCAGCAGUGGGGAAUAUUGCACAAUGGGCGCAAGCGUGAUGCAGCCAUGCCGCGUGUAUGAAGAAGGCCUUCGGGUUUAAAAGUACUUUCAGUCGGAAGGCGUUACCGACAGAAGAAUCACCGGUUAAUUCCGUGCCAGCAGCGGCGGUAAUC
rnacentral:rRNA from 1 species